rnacentral:rRNA from 1 species
UACGUAGGGGGCAAGCGUUGUCCGGAUUUAUUGGGCGUAAAGAGCGUGUAGGCGGUCUGGUAGGUCCGUUGUGAAAACUCGAGGCUCAACCUCGAGACGCCGAUGGAAACCAUCAGACUAGAGUCCGGAAGAGGAGAGUGGAAUUCCUGGUGUAGCGGUGAAAUACGCAGAUAUCAGGAAGAACACCCGUGGCUAAGGCGGCUCUCUAGUACGGUACUGACGCUGAGACGCGAAAGCGUGGGGAGCGAACAGG